GCAGGUAUAGCUCAGCGGGAGAGCAUCCGCCUCACACGCGGAGGGUCGCUGGUUCAAUCCCAGCUACCUGCACCA
rnacentral:tRNA from 1 species